rnacentral:rRNA from 1 species
UGGGGAAUCUUGGACAAUGGGGGCAACCCUGAUCCAGCCAUGCCGCGUGAGUGAUGAAGGCCUUAGGGUCGUAAAGCUCUUUCGCCUGUGAAGAUAAUGACGGUAGCAGGUAAAGAAACCCCGGCUAACUCCGUGCCAGCAGCCGCGGUAAUACGGAGGGGGUUAGCGUUGUUCGGAAUUACUGGGCGUAAAGCGCACGUAGGCGGACCAGAAAGUUGGGGGUGAAAUCCCGGGGGCUCAACCCCGGAACUGCCUCCAAAACUAUUGGUCUAGAGUUCGAGAGAGGUGAGUGGAAUUCCAAGUGUAGAGGUGAAAUUCGUAGAUAUUUGGAGGAACACCAGUGGCGAAGGCGGCUCACUGGCUCGAUACUGACGCUGAGGUGCGAAAAGUGUGGGGAGCAAAACAGGAUUAGAUACCCUGGUAGUCCACACCGUAAAACGAUGAAUGCCAGUCGUCGGGUAGCAUGCUAUUCGGUGACACACCUAACGGAUUAAGCAUUCCGCCUGGGGAGUACGGUCGCAAGAUUAAAAACUC